AAUAGAUACCCAGGUAGUCCUGACAGUAAACGGUGCACGUUUGGUGUGGGAGGAUUCGACCCCUUCUGCGCCGGAGCUAACGCGUUAAACGUGCCGCCUGGGGAGUACGGUCGCAAGAUUAAAACUCAAAGAAAUUGACGGGGGCCCGCACAAGCGGUGGAGUAUGUGGCUCAAUUCGAUGCAACGCGAAGAACCUUACCAGGCCUUGACAUGCAUCUCUAAGUUGGUGAAAGCCAGCGAGUCCCGAAAGGGACAAUGUGCACAGGUGCUGCAUGGCUGUCGUCAGCUCGUGUCGCGAGAUGUUGGGUUAAGUCCCGCAACGAGCGCAACCCCUGUGAACUGUUGCCACCGGAGCGAGAGCUCCGAGCACUCUGUUCAGACUGCCCCGCUCUAACGGGGAGGAAGGUGGGGACGACGUCAAGUCAGUAUGGCCCUUACGGCCUGGGCUGCACACAUACUACAAUGCCCAGUACAGAACGAUCCGAGACCGCGAGGUGGAGGAAAUCACUAAAACUGGGCCCAGUUC
rnacentral:rRNA from 1 species